CUCUGAGUUUUAAGUGUUUUCUCGUGCUCACGGUGACUCAGGAAUCCAUUAUCACGGUGCUCUCGUGCCUUCACGGAAAACAGCAGCACAAGAUGGAGAGCCGUGGCAGGAGGCCCGAGCGUCUUCGCUGCUCUGCUAAAUGGUGUGGAGCUUCAGCAAACAGCUUAAUCUCCCUGGGUUCCUGUUCCUUCCAAAUAUGAACCAGAGGAUUUGACCUAGAUUAGCAGCUUUCAAAAUGCACUCUCAGGGCCACUGGGGGGUUCUGUGAGAACGUAAGCAGGGCACGGGUCCAGACGCCUCUCCACCUAUGCGGCACCCGGAGUCUCCAGGUGACCUGAUUGCAUCCCAGCCGGCCCAGCACACUUGGAGGAUGGGAAACUAACGGCUGUCUGUGGACUUAAAUUCUGUUUGUCUUCCCCGACGACUACUAACUUUCACAGUGAAGGGAGGUGUUGCUAAGGCCGCUGUGAGAGAGAAAACACACCAGCCCUACACCCUGCAUCCCACAAAGCCAACCUGCCGGACAAGGCAUGGCCACUGCACAAUAGUGAUCCCCAGACCGACAGCUGUUCUAAGAGUAAGGCUUGAGUAUACACCCUAGUUCUGCUGCUGCUGACUGAAGCUAGCUGCUGAUUUGUCUACCUGGGAUAACUCCCUGAAAUGGCACAGAGAAUCCCUGCGGAUUAUUUCCUUGGGCAGCUCUACCUAGGAGAAGCCCCCUAGGAGCAGAUCCUGAUGGCUGUAAUUGGAAGUAUUCACUGAGGAACUGGAUGCUUAUUAACUACAAUAGCAAUGUGCAGCACAGCAAAACUUCAAUAAGUAAGUGGCAUGUUUUAAGUAGAUUUAAAACAAAGACAGGAAUUAAAAGGACCCUUCGAUAGAACACGAGCGUGAAAUUGAGAAGAACACAGAGGUACAUUAACGAUGAGAAGGAGCUCUCCAUGAAGCGGGUUAAGGUCUAGGAAACAAAAAGCUACAGCUAGCAGAGCCGGAGUGCUGAUACUCGUGGAGAUUUCUAAUCGGAAGACUUGGCUUCCUACGUCGUCAUCGGGGACAAGAGAUUGACUCAGAAACGAAGACGACAGCUCAGUGCGGUCUCCGCUGGGAGUGAUUCCCAAGAUCCCAUCUGCAGAUUAUGUUGUGGACAUUGGUUUUUCCUGGGAAAGGUCUGCGGAGUCAGUCCCAGGGCUCCAGUCUGCCCCUUGGAAAGGCUCACGGGGUGAACGAAGCUGGAUCUGUUCCACUCUUUCACAGCUCCGCAUGUGUGAGAAUCUCUCUGCUAUCUUGCUCUGGAAGAACUUGGUGCCUCAGAGCUGAUUUUUUUUUUUAAACAAUUUAAAAAAGAUGAAGUUAUCUGAGAUGCACCUGAACUUUCCCCUCAUCGCCUCACCACAUUUCUUUUGACUGAUUCACUGGGAUUCAGUGGCCUAACAAUGGGUGGGACAUUACCCCAGCAUGCUAUUCCUUACCAUUAAUGUAGUAAAAAAAAGAUAAAAAAAUGUAAGUCUUUGAUCUGUGAGCCUGUGUAAAAUGUCCAAGUCCUUAACAAGUAUUUUCUCAUUUCUCUAGUUUUCAAAUAUUGUGUAAUUAUAGACUUAUUGUGA